AGAGUUUGAUCAUGGCUCAGAACGAACGCUGGCGGCGUGGAUAAGACAUGCAAGUCGAACGGGAUAUCACUUGUAGCAAUACCGGUGAUGUCUAGUGGCGCAAGGGUGCGUAACACGUGGGCAAUCUGCCGGGAAGUGGGGGAUAGCUCGCCGAAAGGCGAAUUAAUACCGCAUAUGGUUAGCGAGGGAAUCUUCGCGACACCAAAGCCGGGGCAACCUGGCGCUUCCUGAUGAGCCCGCGGCCUAUCAGCUAGUUGGUGAGGUAACGGCUCACCAAGGCGAUGACGGGUAGCUGGUCUGAGAGGACGACCAGCCACACUGGAACUGAGACACGGUCCAGACACCUACGGGUGGCAGCAGUCGAGAAUUUUUCUCAAUGGGCGCAAGCCUGAAGGAGCGACGCCGCGUGGAGGAUGAAGGUCUUCGGAUUGUAAACUCCUGUCAUUAGGGAACAAAGUCCCCGGUUAACUGCCGGCGGGCCUGAUAGUACCUGAAGAGGAAGAGACGGCUAACUCUGUGCCAGCAGCCGCGGUAAUACAGAGGUCUCAAGCGUUGUUCGGAUUCAUUGGGCGUAAAGGGUGCGUAGGUGGCGCCGUAAGUCAGGUGUGAAAUCUCGGGGCUCAACCCCGAAACUGCACUUGAUACUGCGGUGCUCGAGUACUGGAGAGGAGAUUGGAAUUUACGGUGUAGCAGUGAAAUGCGUAGAUAUCGUAAGGAAGACCAGUGGCGAAGGCGAAUCUCUGGACAGUUACUGACACUGAGGCACGAAGGCCAGGGGAGCAAACGAGAUUAGAUACCCCGGUAGUCCUGGCAGUAAACGGUGCACGUUUGGUGUGGGAGGAUUCGACCCCUUCCGUGCCGGAGCUAACGCGUUAAACGUGCCGCCU
rnacentral:rRNA from 1 species